rnacentral:lncRNA from 1 species
UGUGUCCCUCACAAAAUGUCCACUACGAAACGAAGUCAUUAAAAUUUGCCAAUAAACAGUUUUAUAAAAUCAAUGUAAUUUUUGUUUGCAAGAGAUAUAAACAUUAGGGUCUUACAAAAGAAGUGAUGCUUUUAUAACGGCAAUUAAAUUGUUGGUAAGAAAAAUUGAGCACAUCAAAUGGACCAGAGUGAUACCGUAUUUUUGAUAAUGUCCACUACGAAACGGGUCAAAUCUCCUUCAGUAUCUGGUUUUAAAAUUAUGAAAAAAAUAUCAGUGUACAGCUUGAUAAAUGCUUUGAUGAAUACAAUCAGUCUUGUUACUAUUGCAAUAUAGGGAUUGUGGGGAAAAAAUAAAACAUGCGAAUACGUCCCUUACGAAACGGUCCCCUACGAAACAAGUAUGGGAGAAAAACGUUUCGUAGUGGACACUACCACUACCAUGGAGUCUUUUUUUAAUCUUUUUUCAAUUAUAUUCGUGCAAAACAAAUAACAAGGGUUAGUUUCAUGUAAUUUUUAUUAUGUUUUUAUUAACAUAUAAUAGGUUGAUGUCAACUACGAAACUUUUUGUCCACUACGAAACGGUUUUGUCCACUACGAAACGCAUCAAAAUGUCCACUACGUAACAUGAGUUGAACUUCAUAUGUGAAGUACUGUCUAAUCUUUAUCGAUAAAAAAUGGUUUUCCAAUUCAGAAAAAAUUAUAUUUUUCUAGUAUUUAAAGUAAACAAACUGGAAUGUCUAUAGGAAAC